AUGAGUCCAAAUAAAACACUUUAGCCUUCAUAUCGAAUUACUUGGAAUAACAACAUAAGCGGAAGCGUACCUGAAUCCAUAAGUGGAAAUCUUUAGUCCUUCUUGAAGAUUGUCCAAGGUGUGCCUUUGAGAAGCUCCUUGAUCCUUCCUGUAAGAUUGUCUUGAAGUUUUUGCUUUCACAAGAAUAUAUCCAAGACCAAAAAUUGAGGAUUGGUUUU
rnacentral:lncRNA from 1 species